CGCCAUGUUGGCCAGGCUGGUCUCGCACUCCUGACCUCAAGUGAUCCGCCUGCCUUGGCCUCCCAAAGUGCUGGGAUUACAGACGUGAAGCCACUGCGCCCGGCUGGUAUAGAUAUUUAAAAAAUAAGAAAGUUAGUUUCUGGGUCACGGGAAACUCAUGUUUAUGUUACCUAACAAAGGCCUGAAGUGGAAAUACUUCAUGUUGUUGAGUAAGCUGAGAGGUUGCUGGCAGAGGUGGUUGGGGCUAUGUGCCUGGAGUGAAGAUUCUGCCCAUUGGUCAAGAGACCUCCCUCUCAGAUGCUGGCUCUGCCCCUGCCUUUGGGGGUCGACCCUUGUACU
rnacentral:ncRNA from 2 species